rnacentral:lncRNA from 1 species
ACGGGUGGUAUGAUAUGUGUUAGACCACAUUACCUAUUGCUUGUAAUUUGAAAUUCUCCUCUCAUAAGUAUGUGGAUAUAUUAUUGUAGGUCGUCCGGAAGGACAACCUGCACUUGAUUGGCCAAUAAGACAACGCAUUGCAUUGGGAUCUGCAAGAGGCCUUGCUUAUUUACAUGAUCACUGUGAUCCAAAAAUUAUUCACCGUGAUGUGAAAGCAGCAAACAUAUUGUUGGAUGAGGAAUUCGAAGCAGUUGUUGGAGACUUUGGGUUGGCUAAACUCAUGGACUACAAGGAUACAUAUGUUACCACACAUGUAUGUAGCACAUUUGGUCAUAUGGCACCGGAGCACUUUUCAACUGGAGUGUCUUCCGAGAAAACUGAUGUUUUUGGAUACGGAGUCAUGCUUCUUGAACUCAUCACUGGGCAGAGGGCUUUCAAUCCUCAGCUUGCGAGUGAUGAUGAUGUCAUGUUAGUUGAUUGGGUAUGCAUUUACGUCUUUCUGUUUGUGUAUGUAGCUAGUUUAUUGUUAUAUGAUUAUUUCCCAACAACAUUUGCAUUUCCUUAGUAAUUAGCUUUUAGAAAAUAAGUUUGGUUUAAUUAGCUUUUAUUAGUUAGAGUUAUGAUUAGCUGUGUAGAUUUUUUUAUCUUUAUUUAUAACAAUCCAAGGUUUAAACUGUCAGAGAUUAAUUAUUGCAUUUCCUUAGUAAUUGUUACUAUUGUUGUUGCUUCUUUUGCCAAUGUAUUGGCAUUUUGUGAUUUCUUGAAGAAUUUGGCAUAUGUUUUGUGUCGAUCCUAAUUUCCUCAUCAUCUCCUUAUUCUUGCUAUCUUGGCCUCUCGCUUUUUCCUAUUCUCUCUAUUGCAUCUUUGUCUUCUCUUUGCAUGAUAUCAAUAUUUGAAUGACGAUACAUUUUUGUAAGCAGUUUGAUUUUCUGUAGAAAAAAGUUUGAACAUUACAACACAUUUUUGUUCUCCUAGAUUCCCGCACCUUUUGUUUCAAAUUGUCGAACCACCCGACAAUUUCUGUUUUAUUUUUCCUAAAAAAAUUAGGUCAAAUGACUACUGAAAGAUCGGAGGUUGGAAAGACUUGUUGAUGCUGAUCUAAAUGGAAAUUAUAUUGACGAUCAAGUGGAGCAGCUGAUCCAAGUAGCUCUACUGUGCACACAAGGCUCCCCAGGGGAACGGCCCAAGAUGUCAGAGGUUGUCCAAAUGCUUGAAGGCGAAGGCGAAGGUUUGGCUGAAAGAUGGGAGGAGUGGCAAAACAAGGAGAUGAUCCGCCAAGAUUUCAACACUAUUCAUCAUCCAAGUACUUGGAUCAUAGACUCACCUUCUCCUAAUUUUGUGUUGUACUAUUUCUGUGAGUUUGAAGAAAUGGAUAAAAAGAAAGGAAAACCAAUGAAAAAGGCUUGAAAACUUUGAGUUUUAAUGAUAAGGACAAAAUAAAGGGUAAAGUGAAUAGUACCAGGAUUGACUUUUUAGUGUAAAAAUGUGGUUUUUCAUUAAAGUGAACAGUACCGGAUGCUUUUCGUUAAAGUUCCCUAAAAAGAAUGACAUGUGAUAGAGAGUUCAUCAUAUAGCUUCUGACUUUAAGGAUUUUUCAUUUAGUUCUAGUUCAUGUUGCGCAAAAAAUAUUAGGUAACACUGCUACUGGGGCUAUUGCAGGAGGGGUUGCUGUUGGUGCUGCUUUACCGUUUGCUGCACCUGCAAUUACACUUGCUUAUUGGCGACGGAGAAAACCACAGGAUCAUUUCUUUGAUGUACCUGGUUAGUGAACUAUAGGAGUAAUAUAGCUUGAUAAAGGUGGUGUUGUAGUAUGGGAUGGAGGUUUCACUAAUCUACUGUCUUUGCAGCUGAGGAGGAUCCAGAAGUUCUUUUAGGACAGCUCAAAAGGUUUUCUUUGCGCGAACUACAAGUUGCAACGGAUACCUUUAGUAACAAAAAUAUUCUUGGUAGAGGUGGAUUUGGUAAGGUUUAUAAAGGACGCUUAGCUGAUGGAACUCUGGUUGCUGUAAAAAGACUUAAAGAGGAGAGAACCCAACGUGGGGAGCUACAGUUUCAAACAGAGGUUGAAAUGAUUAGCAUGGCUGUCCACCGCAAUCUGCUUCGUCUGCGUGGUUUUUGCAUUACACGAACAGAAAGGCUGCUUGUAUAUCCUUAUAUGGCUAAUGGAAGUUUGGCAUCAUGUUUACGAGGUACUCUUCUAAAUUGUUUGCUGCGUUGAUAAAUCUUCUUGUUUUCACGAAAUUAAAAAAUGGGUAAAUUACAUUUUACACCCUCAGGUUUGAGUGUAAUUGUAACCUCAUACAAUAUUUUUAAAACAUUUCAAUUUUAUACAUUUCCUUAUCAUUUCUAGCAAUUUCAUACAUCUGUUAGUCAAACCGUGAGUUUGACUGUUAAGGAAUGACAUGGCAAAUGUGAGGUCCACAUUUUUAUUGACGGGGAUGCCAACUAUGAUUCACGUGGAAUAAAAACAAAUAAAAAAGAUUAAUAAAUAGAAAAUUAAAUUUUUUUAUAAUUAAAAACUAAAAAAAUAGAAAAGAUAAAAAAAAUGGUGUUGUUCAUCCCUUUCCUGCUCUCACCCCGUCCCCGCAUUCUUCAUUUCCCCCCGCCCACCAUCGCCACCUUCCCUUUCCUCAGCCACUGCAAUGAAUAGACCACAUUACCUGUUGCUUGUAAUUUGAAAUUCUCCUCUCAUAAGUAUGUGGAUAUAUUAUUGUAGAUCGUCCAGAAGGACAACCUGCACUUGAUUGGCGAAUAAGACAACGCAUUGCAUUGGAAUCUGCAAGAGGCCUUGCUUAUUUACAUGAUCACUGUGAUCCAAAAAUUAUUCACCGUGAUGUGAAAGCAGCAAACAUAUUGUUGGAUGAGGAAUUCAAAGCAGUUGUUGGAGACUUUGGGUUGGCUAUACUCAUGGACUACAGGGAUACACAUGUUACCACAGCUGUACGUGGCACAAUUGGUCAUAUAGCACCAGAGUACCUUUCAACUGGAAAAUGUUCCGAGAAAACUGAUGCUUUUGCAUACGGAGUCAUGCUUCUUGAACUCAUCACUGGGCAGAGGGCUUUUGAUCUUGCUCGGCUUGCGAAUGAUUAUGAUGUCAUGUUACUUGAUUGGGUAUGCUUUUACGUCUUUCUGUUUCUGUUUGUUGCUAAUUUAUUGUUAUAUGCAAGAUUAUUUUCCAACAAUAUUUGAAUGAGGUCCACCUUUGAGAGUUUUAACGAAAAGUCCACGGUACUGUUCACUUUAACGAAAAAUCAUAUUUUUACAUUAAAAAGUUAAUCCUGAUACUAUUCACUUUACUCUUUAUUUUGUCUUUAUCGUUAAAACUCAAAGUUUUGAAGCCUUUUUCAUUAGUUUUCCUUAAUAUCUUUCAUAUUUUAUAAAAUAAAAAAAAAGACAUAAUGUUGUUGAAAUUCAACGAUAUUCUUGCUUCGAUCUAUUGUUUCCCUAAGUCCAAAUCUUGGAAAUUAUGUUUCAAUACUCAUUUUAAAGAAAUGUUAUAUAAUAUACUGUAAAUUAGGUGUAUCUCUCGAUACCAAUGUUGCUAUUUAUUUAAGCCAAAAAUAAUGGGUCUCGACACCUAAUCACUUUAUUUCAAACCGCUAAUCUCAUAUGACAUUCUUAAUCAUUGUAUAUGGAACAUUUCUGCAAUCAUUUUAGUUGGUUCUUUGCAAUACUUUAAAAACCUAUUACUCAUCAUAGAGCUGCCAAGUUCCUGUCUAAUUAAUGUAAAAAUCACUUAGUCUUUUUUGGCCCGAAUAUUGAAAACAAUUAGAAUCAUGGAUCAAAGAAAAGAAAUAAUACUUAACUUUUAGAAAAUAACUUUAGUUUAAUUAGCUUUUAUUAGUUAGACUUACGAUUAAGCUGUGAAGAUUUAUUUAUCUUUAUUUACAACAAUCUAAGAUUUAAAUUGUCAGAGAUUAAUUAUUACAUUUCCUUGGUAAUUGUUGUUAGUAUUGUUGUUGCUUCUUUUGCCAAUGUAUUGGCCUUGCUGUGAUUUCUUGAAGAAUUUGGCAUGUGUUUUGUAUCGAUCCUAAUUUCCUCAUUAUCUCUUUAUUCUCGCUAUCUUGGCUCUUUCUUCUUUUUAUUCUCUGUUUGCAUCUUUGUCAUAUGUUCGCAUCACAUCAAUAUUUGAAUGACGAUGCAUUUUUGUAAGCAAUUUGAUUUUCUGGAGAUACUGCGGCCCUUCAAAUUUUGAACAUUACAACACAUUUUCACUCUCCUAGGUGCCCUCACCUUUUGUUUCAAAUUGUAGAACUAUCUGAUUUUGUUCCUUUUUAUUUUAACUAAAAUAAUUAGGUCAAAGGACUACUGAAAGAUCGGAGGUUGGAAACACUUGUUGAUGCUGAUCUAAAUGGAAAUUAUGUUUACGAUCAAGUGGAGCAGCUCAUCCAAGUAGCUCUACUAUGCACACAAGGCACCCCAGGGGAACGACCCAAGAUGUUAGAGGUUGUCUGGAUGAUGGAAGGGCGAUGGUUUGGCUGGGAGGAGUGGCAAAAAGAGGAGGUGUUCCACCAAGAUUUCAACCCUAUUCAUCAUCCAAGUACUAAUUGGAUCACAGACUCAACUUCUCAUAUUCCUCUGGAUGAGUUGUCUGGUCCCAGAUGAUAUGCUCGUUGGUUCUGUCCCCUGUAUACAUGUAAGAAGCCUCAGAGGACUGUAGAAGGUCCAUUUUGUAUUUCAGUGAUACAACAUUUGUGCAUAUGUUUUGUCUUUGUUUUCGAUUUUGUUUUUGUCUCUCGUAUUUUUUAGAUCACAAAAAUGGAGCUGGUGCUGUUGUAAUUUUUAUAGGGUUAACUGGCAUUACGAAGUUAUAUGGUGCUAGCAGGAAUUAGGAAGGGCCAUAAAAGCACCCAUUCCUGAUGAUUUAUGUAUCUAUCCAGAAAUUAGUUCAGAUUGUCGAGUAAAUAAUCAUUCUGAAGUUAUAACUAUAUAUAUUUUUUAGUGUUCCAAUAGAUCCUAUAGAUACGAUAAGGACACUAGGUCAAGUGCGUUCCUAUAGAUCCUUUAGAUACGAUAAGGACACUAGGUCAAGUGCACGGCUGCUUGUGGACGGAUAGUGUUUGAAAUUUCAUCGUGAUCAUUGCAAGUGUGACUUUGUGGCACUACCCUUAUAAGUACUUGAACUAAGGCAUUAGGGAUCAAGAGAUCACUUUGUGUCAUUCCAAAACAGGAAUUUGAGCUCUGUCUAUCCUCUUUAAAGUAUCGUCAAUGGGGAUCCCUCUACUAUCUUUGAGGAUUUAUUUAAGACCAACUGUAGGGUAAGACCCAAACCUAAAUUUCUAAGUUUAAACAAAAUAAAAAUGCAAUCUAAUUGUGGGAUUUUUUUGUUUUUUUUGAACAAAAUAUAUUAUCUAGAUUAGGUUAAGCUUUACAGUGGGCUAGUAAUAAUAUGGUUCAAAUUUGUCUUUGGCGAAAAUCGAACCUAAAGACCUCUAUUAUAUGUGAAGAGAAAUAUCAGUAAACUGUAGUACUAGAUAGUAUCUAAUGGUUGGACUUAAAGCUAAAAAGUUUGGCUUUUACCCAAGCUAAACCCAAAUUUGGGUUUUGUAUUUGGCAGACCCAAAUUUUUGGGGGCCCUACCUUUUUUUUUCUGAAAAGCAACGGGCGAAUGAUGUAUUGAAGUGGCCGACAGAUGGGUCCCUCACCUAGCAGAGUCCCAGCUGCAAAACAGUAACAGUUUAAGCAACUACGAGCCAUUCGAUUUGUGGGCCAUUGGUGAUCAACGGUCUAGGUUAAAAUCCUUUCAUGCUUUGCAAUCUUUAAAUUUUGAUCUAAUUGUUCAUAUAUAUAUUUUUUCAAAUCUAACGGUAAAAUAAAUCCAACUACUGAAAUUUAAAUUCAACGUCAAAAAUUAUUUUAUUUAGAACAUAUCCAUUAUACAUUUGGAUGGUUGGUGUGGUUUGUUCGGUUUUGAAUUUUUUGUUGAAAUUUAAUUUUUUUAAUGUCAAAACACUUGUCAAAUUAAAUUAAAAUAAUAUAAUUCAAAAGUAAAAAAUUUAAAAAAAAAUCCUACCGAAAAAAAAUUAGGGUUAAAACUAUAUUCCACCACAAUUAGUACAUUUUAGGCCAUGAAAUUUAGAUCUUGAUGGUUGGGUGAUAUUCACUUCAUAGACUUAAAUUCUGUCUUUUGAUGGACUAAAUAUUUGGGUUUGGGUGUAAAGGUUGGAGCUGGUCUAAGGACUUUAAUGAAAUCUUAUAUUUCUAAACGAGUUGCCUCAUAUGAGAAAGUCCUUAUAGUAUAAAUCUUAAAUUUGAAGUUUACAUAAUUUUAUGUGAUACUUUCAUUGGAAGCUAAUUCUUUUAGUUAAUUUAACUUGAUUUUAUUGUAAAAUAUUUUUUUGUGAACAUUAUUACCCAAAAAAGUUCAAAAUUCUCGAAGCCAAAUUUUAUUCUUUAGAACUACAAUAGCUUUCAUUAUUGGCUAUGUCAUGGUCUAUUAUUUCUGAUCAGAAUCAGACCUGGACUCUUUGCAACGCUUGGUCAACUAAAUGAAUUAUUAAUUAAAAGUAGCUUGAUAAUCAUUUUGUUUUCAAUUUUUAAUUUUUAGCUUAUACUUUUCUAUUAUGAAAUUAAUCAAAAUGGUUCAUGAAAUUGGCAUAAUUAAUCAUUUCGGUUCCUGAGAUUUGAAAUUGCUAGAAGUGAUCCCUGAGUUUGUUAACUAUCAAUUAUUUUGAUCAUUCGAUUAAAAAUCUCUAUUGAAUAAGAAGCAUGUUUAUACCAUAUUUAGGGCCUCGUAUUUAGACCUCGUAUAAAUACUCGGGGGACUUAAAUGUAAUUAUGUGAUAAAGGAAGGGGCAAAUAUGUAAUAAGUGAGGAGUCCUUAUUCUAUAAAAGGACCCCUCACCCUCACAAUUAGAAAAAGGCCUCACUCUCACUCUCGAAAAAGCCAAAUUCUUAGGCCCUCUCACCCUCUCUCAACGCUCUCACUCUCAGAGCUCUCUCUCCUUCAAAUAAAUACAAUCAGUGUGGACGUAGCACAAACCUUGGGGUGAACCACGAUACAUCUUGUGUUAUUUACAUUUCAUGCAGAUUCACGGUCGGAUUUACGUUGUUCCAAGACCUCCGGUUUUGUGCAUCAACAUUUGGCGCCGUCUGUGGGAAACGACACGAAAAGUUAUGUCGGUUCUCUCUCAAUUUUUCAUCUCCGCCGUGAAUCUGCAGAAAUCCAAGAACCCAAAAACCUCACUUUUUGGGUUUCUCCAGAAAACUUUCGCAGACCUCCAACCACCUCUGCCUCCUCUCUCAGUCAGUCAACACGGAAACCAAAGAUUUCAGCUGCAAAUUCACCUGCUUUUGCAGCCCAUCCACGCCACCAUGUCCUCAUAUUUCCACCGAGUUCCAAAGUGCUCACCAGAAAAAAUGAUGGCUUCCAUGUCUUUCUCUACAACUUUUUCAACACCUUUACAGAUUUUUCUCAAGCAAAAACAAAAAUAAGCACGAAUUCUUUAGCUUUAUGCCCUCCCAUGGCGUGUUGGAUCAAAUCCUCACUUGGGUCUCCUAAUCGGCAUUUUUUCGAAAUGGGUGGUCUUUCCAAUCGGAGAAUUUUAAUGGGUUUCUGAUCAAAUCUUGGUCUUUGGUUGUCUAUGCUAAAGCAGCUACAACAACAUCUCUAUAUAUCUCUCAUGUCCCUCAUCUCUAUCUUGUCCCUCAUCGCUCAGCCUGACACAUCAAUCAACACACCCAACUGAAAGAGGGAUAGUUUCGUGAUUACCCUGAUUCCGCCAUGGGCAUUCCCUGCGACGACAUCGUCGUUAUCAAGCCGAGGAAGGCUCCUGAUGAGCCAUCCGUCCUCACCGUCAACUGUCCCAACAAGGCCGGCCUUAGCUGCGAUUAGGAGAGGUUAAAGGAUCAGCUCUCGUCCGCGUGCCCGUCGUCGUGCUUCUUCUCAUUUUAUCUCAAUCAAAUCUCCAACGUCCCAACGCCUUCUUCGGUCUAUCUGUUGAAGUUUUGGUGCCACGACCAGAGAGGCUCACUCCACGAUGUUUGAGCCAUUGUGCGAUUUGGGCAAGAAUUUAUGGGAUCUCGCGGUGGCCCAGAUGGUUUAUGAUGAUGUUGUUGGGGUUGGAGUGGUCGAGGAGAUCAAAAAUCAAUGGCUUUUCUCAGUUUUCAGCAUCUGUCAAUUUGGCGGAGGAACGAAAGAUGCCAAAAUUAACUGCUGAGAGUACCUGGGAUUUUGAGAUGUGAUUCAUUAUUGUAUCUGAUAAACAACUUAGAAUUGUCUCUGCCACGUGUUCCACACCGAGUGCAUUGACAGGGGGCUGGAGUAUAAUGAUCAUCAUCAUCACCAUCACGACGAGGACAAUCACAAAACUUGCCCGCUCUGCAGGACUCCAUUAUUGAUGUCAUUGUAGAAGCGGAGCCUGAGUUGGGACCUUGCAGGCUUAAAAGGGACGGUCAAAUAAGAGGCUUAUUUCACUGAACAAAGUUAAACAGCAUGAAAAAGGAGAUUCAAUGUGCGGAGAUCCAGUAUGGAACUGGUGCAAUUUCAGGUUUCUUCCACCAGGACCAUGUCCAAGUCGGUGAUCUUGUUGUUAAGGAUCAGGACUUUAUUGAGGCAACCAAAGAGCCUGGAGUCACGUUUGUGGCAGCUAAGUUUGAUGGUAUUCUUGGACUUGGAUUUCAACAUAUCUCAGUUGGAGAUGCUGUUCCUGUCUGGUAUAAUUUGGUCAAUCAAGGUCUUGUUAAAUAACCAGUUUUCUCAUUUUGGUUAAAUCGCAAUACAGAAGGGGAAGAAUGGGGUGAGAUUGUCUUUGGUGGGGUUGAUUCUAGUCAUUUCAAGGGUGAGCAUACAUAUGUUCCCGUGACUCAGAAAGGCUACUGGCAGUUUGAUAUGGGUGAUGUCUUAAUUGAUGGUGAAUCAUCUGGAUUUUGUGCUAAUGGCUAUUCAGCAAUUGCUGACUCAUGCACCUCCCUAUUGGCUGGACCAACGGAAGUAUGGAGAGGUGGUGGAGGCUGUGAUCAUGAGGGAUCGUGCAAAAGGGGAGAUAAGAUUAAUGUACUUAUCAUUCCUUGUCUGCCAUCUACAAAAGAGAAAAGAAGACAGAAACAAAAGCAAAAGUAAAGCAGAAAAGGAAAAGAGAAAAGAAGAAGAGAGGAACAUGGAGACAUUUCAAAAGCAAGGAAUAAACACCCCACCAGAAUGAUGUAUUUUUUUUAUCUUUCGGAAAUAUCUGUAUAAACCCCAUCAGAGGGUAACUAAAAAAAAAUAGCAAAGCCCAAAACAAAUGGGCUGCCAUGUUGUGGAGGGCGAAGGCUCAUAAGCCCGAAAUAGCACCAACCAGGUGAUCAAAAGUACGCCUAGUACUCCACAAUUAUUCGGCAACCCACCGCUAUUACCACCAACCAGGUGAUCAAAAGUACGCCCAGUACUCCAAAAUUAUUCGGCAACCUGCCGCUAUUACCACCAACCAGGUGAUCAAAAGUAUGCCCAGUACUCUAAAAUUAUUCGGUAACCCGCCGCUAUUACCACCAACCAGGUGAUGAAGUGUACAACCCGUACUCUAAAUAUCAUUUGGCAACUAGCCAUUCAUGCCACCAACCAGGUGAUGAAAUGUAAACCCGUACUCUAAUAUCAUUUGGCAACUAGCCAUUCAUGCCACCAACCAGGUGAUGAAAUGUACAACCCGUACUCUCCUUCAUGCCACCAACUAGGUAAACAAAAGUACGCCCAAUACUUCAAAUUAUACAUGAGCAUUACUCAUGUCAAUCAUACAUAAACAUUCAUGAGCAUCACUCAUAUCAAUCAUACAUAAACAUUCAUGAGCAUCACUCAUGUCAACAUUCAUAAGCAUCACUCAUGUCAACAUCCAUGAGCAUCACUCAUGUCAAUCAAACAUUCAUGAGCAUCACUCAUGUCAAUUAAACACUCAUGAGCAUCACUCAUGUCAAUCAGCUUCAAAAGCUUCAUUUACAAAAGCUCUAGCUUCAAAAGCUUCAUUUACAGAGCUCCAGCUUCAAAGCUUCACUUGCAAAGCUUCAUUUACAAAGCUUCAGUGCAGGAUAUACAAAUACCACCUCCGAACAACCGCCACUUCGGCCCAUACAUGGAUUCAAUUUGAAGUCUCUAGCUAACAGACUCUAUUGACUGAAGACUUGAGGGACUACACUAUACACCAUAUAUUGGGCCUCAACUAGGCCUCAUGAAAAAUACUUGGGGGACUCUAGCCCAUUAUUUAUGUAUUGAGGAGCGAGCCCUUAUUUUAUAAAAGGGAUUCCCUCACCAUCAUUAGAGCAGCAUCAACUAUAGCCCAUUAUUCAUGUAUUGAGGAGCGAGCCCUUAUUUUAUAAAAGGGACUCCUUCACCAUCAUUAGAGAGCAACGCCGCCAGCUGAGCAACCGUCUCGCCGCGAGCAUCAACUCUAGCCCAUCAUUUAUGUAUCGAGGGAACGAGCCCUUAUUCUAUAAAAGGGACUCCUCACCAUCAUUAGAGAGCAUCAACUCUAGCCUAUCAUUCAUGUAUUAAGGAGCGAGCCCUUAUUCUAUAAAAGGGACUCCCUUAUCUUCAAACGCCGCAAGCCGAGCCAACCAAGGCGCCAUAAGCCACGAGCUGAGCAGCAUCGCAGCAUGUGCUACUUCUAAUUGAGCGUCAUUUCAGAUUGAGCACCGCCUCAUAUCAAACAUCAGUUCAAGAUAACAUCUAGUUACUUCGGCCCACACAUGGACUGAAUUUCAAGUCUCCAGCCAAAAGACUCUCUUGACUGAAGACUUAGGGGACUACUGUUUAUACCAUAUUUAGGGCCUCGUAUUUAGACCUCGUAUAAAUACUCGGGGGACUUAAAUGUAAUUAUGUGAUAAAGGAAUGGACAAAUAUGUAAUAAGUGAGGAGUCCUUAUUCUAUAAAAGGACCCCUCACCCUCACAAUUAGAAAAAGGCCUCACUCUCACUCUCAAAAAAGCCAAAUUCUUAGGCCCUCUCACCCUCUCUCAACGCUCUCACUCUCAGAGCUCUCUCUCCUUCAAAUAAAUACAAUCAGUGUGGACGUAGCCCAAACCUUGGGGUGAACCACGAUACAUCUUGUGUUAUUUACAUUUCAUGCAGAUUCACGGUCGGAUUUACGUUGUUCCAAAACCUCCGGUUUUGUGCAUCAACAAAGCAAAUGACAAAAAUAACCUCAAUUCAAUAAAUAAUGGACCGUAAUAAUUUGACAAAAAUUGAAGAUAAUUUUUUUUUUUUUUUACGAAAUGAUCAUGUUGAAUAAAAUCAGAAAUCUCAAAACAAAGUGAGGAAUUGCAUAACAAUUUCAGAUAUCAGCUAAAAAGUAAAAAAUAAAUAUAAACAAAAGAAGAAACGAAACUUCCGACGCUGUGGGCUGCGACUUUGACUGAUUGAGAGUCCUCCAUCCGCAGCUCCUUCGUCUUCCUCCCAAACCUUUUACCUUUCUUCUUUCUUCUCCAAAACUAGCAAGCUGAGAUUUCAACCUCUCUCUCUCUAAGAAGCAGCGGCAUGCUUUUCCAAACUCAAUCUGCAAUUUAAUCAAACAGCCACCGAAUUUUCUCUAAUCCGGUCAACGCAGAGAUGCUUCGGAUUUUGAUCGGUCAACGCCAGCUGCUCACCUGAGCACCAACGGGCCCAACAGUGAUGACGUCCUCCGCCCCUGUUUCUGUUUGGCUGAUUCUGCUGUUUGGAACCUCCAUAAGCUCGCUGCCAACAUAGAAGGUAUGUCUGUGUCUCUGUGUUUUUGAAUUUGGGUGUGUUUGGUUGCGGGAAUUGGAAUGAACUAACGAAUGAAUGAAUGAAUGAUUGGAUUUGACAGGUGACGCAUUGAACGCGUUGAAGACCAAUCUAGCUGAUCCAAACAAUGUUCUGCAGAGUUGGGAUCCGGCUCUCUACAAUCCCUGCACCUGGCUUCAUGUCACUUGUAAUAGCAAAAACAGGGUUACUGUGGUGUAAGCAAACCCAACAAACACCUCCUUUUCAAUUCAGUUCAAUUCAAUUCGAUUCGAUUCAGUUCAGUUCAAUUCACUUGUAACAGCGGAAAUAGCAUUACGGGAAGUUUUUAACAUUUUUGCUCCACCCAGUGAUCUUGCCAAUGCCAAUCUCUCUGGUCAUCUGGUGGCACAGCUUGGUGUGCUUUCCAAGUUGCAGUACUUGUAAGCAUGUUUUUCGCUCUGAUUUUUUGUUCGGGUCUUAUCCAACUGUUCCAUCACUAUGCAUUCGAAUUGAAAUUGGUAUUGAUACAUGACUGAUGAAUUUCACAACUGCAUUUGACAUUAUUGAAACACACUUUCUUGACAGGGAACUUUCCAAUAAUAGCAUAACUGGAAACAUUCCCGAAGAGAUUGGGGGUUUGUCAGACUUGGUGAGCUUGGAUCUUUACUUGGCAACCUUGCAAAACUGCGUUUCCUGUAUGAACCCCCAUCCCUUUGUUAGAUAAAAUCUAUCGUCUUUCUUUUUUUAUUUGAUAUGCUAAUUAUGCUGUUCGGCUCAACCCAAUAUUGUGGUCAAGGCAUGUAGCUUGAGUUUUGACUUUUUCUAGGAGUGGGUCCUGAACAGUAAGGGGCCUUAACAUCGGAAUAUUUACAUAAAUAUACUAGCGAUAGAACCCGCGCGAUGUCGCGAGUUUUAAAACUUUGUUAAACGUAUGCAAAUAUAUUAAAAUCUAAUUAUAUCCAUAUCAAAGAAAUAUCUAUUUACAUCCUCAUAUUCAAUAAGGGAAAAAGAUAUAUAUAUAAAUGUAGGAUAUAUCACAUAUUAAAAUUUGUCUACAUCCAUACCAAAGUCUAUUUGCAUCCUUACGUGUAAUAAUGAACAAAAGAUAGGUAUUUGAAGAAUACAUUACAUAGAAAAAGUUGUGGAUUAAGUUGUUCAUACAAAUACAAUCAUAUAAAAAUAUAUUCAUUUUCCUUGUCCCAACUUUUCUACAUUCAGUACUUCACUCUUCUUUCUUCUUUGUUUUUCUGUAGAUGAGGAUGUACAUUUUUCCUCAAGUAAUCUGUUCAAGAUAAAUUCAUUGGUUAGGCUUCUGAAUCAUAUGAGCCUUUAAUUGGCUUAUAAAAAUGCUCAUUUUUCAUAUGAGAAGGACAACCAGUUUAGAGUUUCGAAAGAUAAAUAAAAAUUCCAAUUCUCACCAAGAAAAAAAGCCGAAGAAAUACAAUGGGUUUAGAUGAGAGACGAAGUCUUUACCAACUAACAAAUGAAGUAAAUCAUGUUGUUCAAUACUUGAGCUUCCAAUUUAGUACACUUACAUCUUCAAUCUCCAACAAAACAAAACAAAAAAAUUGAAAAAUCAUUUAGUAUAAUUGUCACAACAUGUUGAAGAUGCAUGUACCCAACCAAUUGCUUCACCGUUCACCUAUAUCCUCGGUGCUAUAAAUUCGAAUAAAAAACCAGUAAAUAAAAGUGGUUAAGCAAAAACCCUCACUUCUCAUUACAUGUUGAAAUUUCUUUAAGCUCUAAACCUACUCCCAUUGUGUUACUUUUGUAGUGCAUGUUGUGCCUUGGUCGUUCGUCAGUGCAGAAGUGAGAUUCAGAUUGUCUCACCAAACUACAGACCCACAGUUGAACAGUUUAAAUUACAAGAAAUAAAUACACUGAGAAAUUUACGAGGUUCGGCAAAAAUCUGCCUACGUCCUCCAAGAGAUAUUGCUCUUCACUAUGAGAAUAACUAGUACAAGAUACACUUGAGUUAAAUUAACAUAACCCAAACCCCAAUCCUUUGUACCCUCACAGAAUUUUACUAAGAGCCUCACUCUCUCCAAGAGUUUCUCACUCUCACUCUAUAUUUUCUCUCCUUUGUGUUCUCCUUCGGAUGCUCUCUCAAAUGCAUUUCUAAAUGCACAAAUAUUGCAUCUAGUUAUACGCAUACACUAGCAACUAUGCCAACAAACAAGACCCAAAAGUCUUAAGUUCACAUGACAUAAUUAUCACCUAGCCUACCUAGCAUGCAUCAAAGUCUAUACCUAGUCUAUAAAGUACAACUUUUCUCCAUUUGUCAUUUAAUACAUAUAAAAUAAAACAUGCACAAUAAAACAUGCACAAUUGUGUGCAAGCAACCAUAAAGUCAAGUCUUGCUUCCAACUUUGCUUGUGGUAGUCACCAUGUCUUCUCUUGAAACAAGACAUCCAUGCCAUAACCGAAAGCCAAACACAAAGUGGUUACUGCCAUUUCCCUGUAGCACUCAGAAAGUUACACUAUCAAAAUUGUUGCCAACUCAUAAGUAUAUGAGCCAAGCACAACAGUGCAUACACUACAAAAACCAAAAAGAAAAUGCUGCAAAGGGGAAAUUGGAAAAUCAUAUCACCAGCAAACAUUGCACGAAAGGCAUCUGAAGAAGCAAGCAGGCAAGUUCUGUGAGCAUACCAUCUACCUGCAAUUGGUCAGUAGAAAUUUAAAGAGGUACUUUAUGUUAACAAUACAAUCACACACGCUAAUUGAAUACUCUGUGAUUAAGAAAAAGAAGAGGAACUCACGCUGUGCUUCUUGAAAACUGGCGAGAGAACUGGAACUGGGUUGGAAGAAUGUACUGGAAGCAAAUGGAACACCCCAGCUUUUUCAGCCUCGUCAUGAAAUAAUAUUAACAAUUCGGUCAAGUAUAAAACCAUCUGCCAGUUAUGGUUUUUGUAAAUUAUGUAGAAGCCAAAUAUCUAAUAAAUAGUCUAACAAUAAUUAAGUAAUCUGGUUUAAGAUUAAUCAAAAAGCUUGGGAAUUUCAGCUGUUAAAUCACACCUCAGGCUGCAACUCGACAAAGUCUGCGAAAUCACAAUCCAAAAUGCGAUCUUCAGUCUUCCGGCCUCUGUUGCAAAAAUUAAUCCCACAGUCCCCAAAAAAUAAAAAACUUGAAGUUUGAUUUGAAAUUAAAAAUUCAUUCUUUGAAGAUAAAUUCCAAAAAUUUAAAAUUAUAUGCGAGAGAGAGACCUUGUUAAUAUUCGGAGUUAGAGUGAGGAGUUCUCGAAUUGGGAGCGGCGGGGUUUCGUUGCAAAUUUUCCGAAGAAAAUUUCCACGAAUGAAGGGUCAUCGCGAUUUUUUGGCUGGAGGAAAUGAGGUUUUAAGAUUUUUGGAAUUUUGAGUGAAUGGACAGUGUGGCUGGUUGCGAGACAGAGAAAGAGAAGUUGGGGUGUUUUCGUCCCCUUUAAUAUCUGUUGUUGUUGCGAUUAUUUGUGAUUUAAUUAGCACUUUCUUUUCCACGAAAUAGGCGCCCAUACAACAACAGCUUGUCAGGGCGUAUUCCCGUGACUCUGACUAACAUUCAAUCAUUGCAAGUCCUGUGAGUUUCGUACACUUUCAUCUCAGUAAGAGGGAGGAGAGGGAAGUUGCUAAUUUCUCCGCCAUCAGAGAAUGCAAAUAACAUAUAGUUUUGCCAUGGAAUGCAGGGAUCUUUCAAAUAACAAUCUGACAGGGGAUAUUCCAGUCAAUGGAUCUUUUUCACUUUUUACUCCCGUCAGGUUUGUUGAACCCACUUUACUUUUUUUUUCUUUACCUUUUUUCCUGCGGUGGCUGUCCCAGCGGACGAUCUAAAUGAUGUACUGACUGCUAUUAUUCAUUUUGUAGUUUUUCCAAUAAUCCUCGUCUGAAUCCACCUCCUCCCGUUUCUCCAACCCCACCAAGUUCUCCAGGUUUUUACAACUUAUACUGUUCUUGUGAUAUUAACUCAAAUUUAUUUUGAGAACAGUUGAAUAUCAGAGUACUAGACUACAAAAUAAGAAUAUUAUUACACAAAUAAGAAUGGCAAAACGGUUGCAAAAUUUAAAAACACUACAUUGUGACACACUUGUUCUAAAGAAAAUAACAUGCAUCCUAUUUAUAAUAAAUUAUAACCUUAAUCUCUAACAAAUCCUAAUUUUAACGGGCUGACCUCAAAUCCUAAACUUAUUACUUUCCAGCUGGCUCUGUUUUGUUUCACAGACACUUGUGAUAUCGACUCCAGUCCAUUGGUAGUUAAUGUUUUUUCUUGGUGUUUUUCUGUUAAAUUUUUUUCAUAGUACAACAUUAUUGUUGGAAUCACUGCUGUAAAGAUUCUAAGAAGAUGGUAGUUAGGAAAGGAAUGGAUUGAGGAUCCGAGAGGAUACUCCUAAAUUCCUAUGAGUUUGAAGAAAUGAAUUAAAACAAUGACAUGUGAGAGGGAGUUCAUCAUAUAACAUCCGACUUUUAAGGAUUUUUCAUCUCGUUCUGGUUCAUGUUGUGCAAAUAACCCUUCCCUUUUAACUCUGGUGGUUCAUAUUAGGUGCCGGAUUCGGUGAAAUAGUGUCCGGAUUCUGUAUCGGUACGGACGUACCAUUACUUUAGCGAUUCGGUGGUGAAUUCAGUGGUUCAUCUAAUCAUAUCUGAUAAUUUCUAAUCAGAUUACAGAAAAGAAAACGCACCUGUAAUUUUUGGAAAGAGAGGAGCGAAACAACUGGAAUUUUGGGAAGCUCGGUGCUUCUGGUUUUCAUCGGGCAGAGAGAAGACGAAGAGGGAGAGGAAGAGAGAAAAUAUUACUUUCACUUUUUGGAUUUAAUUCUUUUGAUUCGAACAAAAUUUGUUGAAUUGAGGUAGCAGAUCUCUUGCAAUCUACAACUCUCCAACAAAACAAUGACUGUGUAUUUCAAGUUUGUAAAUUUUCACCUUUUUUUUUAUUUUUCACCAGAUAAGUUAAUUUCUAGAUUUGUUCAAUUUGGACUGUUAGAGAGAUUUGUAAAGGGUGGAGAGAUCACGUGUUUGUACAAGUGGUGAGAUUCUUAUGUUAAAAAUUAUUAAUAACAUAAAAAAUAAAAUUUUCCACAAUUUAUAUAAUAACACGUGAUGUAUCACUUGUGUUACGAUCACAAGGAUAAAAUUUUCAAUAUAAUGGAUCUAGAGUAAAGUACAAAAAAUUACUUCAACUAUUGGUGUCACGACACUUUCAUACCUCAUCUUUUAAAAUUGAUAAUGUCAUACCUCAUCUUAUGAAUUUGUGUCCAUGUUAUACAUUCCGUUAGGUUGGCGUGCAUUUCUCAGUUAAAUGCUGACGUGACUUGAUCUUGGGGCAAUUUUCUAUUAAAAAAUUAUUAAAAACUAAAAAAAAAUAUUUAAUAUUUUUUAAAUAUUAAAAAAAAAAAAACCAAACAAACACUCAGUCAGUUCAUCCCCUCCCCCCUUCUCUCUCUUCUUCCCCCUUCCUACAACUCCAACCCAGAAAAAAGAAGAGAGAAAAAAUAAAAAACCAAUUUGUCUUCCCCCUCCCCACCCCCUCUUCUCCCCGCACCCACUCUCCACACCCAACCACCCCACCUUCGCACCCAACCUCGCACCCAUUACCUGCAACCCAAAAAAAAACAAAAAAACCCAGAAGAAAAAAAACCAUAUCCCGUUGAGGUGGAAUCGGGAAGCCUUCGCCAGGCCGAUUCCGAAGGUUGAGAACCUGGGCGCGAAGAAAAUGGGGGGAAUGGGUGUGGAGGGAAGAGGGUGGGUGCAGGGGGGACGGACGAACUGGGUUUCUUAAAACAAAAAACAAAAAAACCCAGAAAAAAAUAAUAAUAUCCCGUUGAGGUGGAAUCAGACCUGCAGCGAACACAAGGAACUGUUGUCCAGAGAUCCCGCCCAAAAGAGUUAUGGGUUUACCAAACUCUGUUUGGGUACCAAGUAUUGGAACCGGGUAAAUCUAGACCCUUCUCUGCGACUAGAUCAUAUAAUCUCCAUAGCUGUCCAAAACGGACUACUAUUGGAUCCUCUUAAGUUGCUUUCCAGCGACUAGAGACGAUAGGCGCAUUGAAGAAUUCUUCGAUCGAGACUGCCAGAUCAAUAGCCGUCGUCAAGUAUGCCUUCGCCAGGCCGAUUCCGAAGGUUGAGAACCUGGGCGCAAAGAAAAUGGGGGGAAUGGGUGUGGAGGGAAGAGGGUGGGUGCAGGGGGGACAGACGAAUUGGAUUUCUUAAAACAAAAAAACCCAGAAAAAAAAAACCAUAUCCCGUUGAGGUGGAAUCGGGAAGCCUUCGCCAGGCCGAUUCCGAAGGUUGAGAACCUGGGCGCGAAGAAAAUAGGGGGAAUGGGUGUGGAGGGAAGAGGGUGGGUGCAGGGGGGACGGACGAACUGGGUUUCUUUUCUUCUUCUUCUUCUUCCUCCUUCUUUCUAGGUUUUUUUUUGGGGAGGGGGGGGACUGGGUUGGGUUAGGUUUUUUUUGUUUUUUUUUUUCUUUUUCUUCUUCCUCCUCCUCCUUUUUUUGGGUUGCAGGGGGUUGGGUUUGUGGUGGGGGGUUUUUUUUUUUUUUUUCCUUCUUCUUCUUCUUCCUCCAUCUUCUUUCUGAGUUUGUUGUUAGGGGGGGGGGAGAACUGGGUUGCAGGAAGAUGGGGAGAGAGAGACGGGUGGGAAGGACGAACUGACUUGAGGUUUUUUUCUUUUUUUCUUUACUUUUCUUUAUUAUUUUAAUAUUUAAAUAAUAUUAAAUAAUUUGUUUUAGUUUUUAAUAAUUUUUUAUUAACUUUUUAAUAGAAAAUGGGUCUCGGAUCAAGUCACGUAAGCAUUUACCUGAGAAAUUCACGCAAACCCUAACGGAAGGUAUAACAUUGGCAUAAAUUCGUAAGAUGAGGUAUGACAUUGUCAAUUUUAAAAGAUGAGAUAUGAAAGUGUCGUGACACCAAUAAUUGAGAUAGUUUGUACUUUAUCCAUGGAUCUAUCAGCACUCUUUUCUUAUUAUGUUAGUGGAGGGACCCAUCUGCAGUGUUGAUAUUUUUUAUAGAAGAUGUAAACAGUCGGUGACCCAUAGCAUUUCCCAAGUUCCAUAUUAAUUUGACAAUAUUUAUAUUAUUCUGAUUAGAAAUUUAACAGAAUUAAUUGUUUUUUAUUUGUAACAAAUAAUUGCUUACAAAUAAUCAAUUCUAUUAAAAAUAAUUGCUUACAAUAAACAAUAACUAUAAUUAAAAUGUAUAUAUAUUAUAAUUUUUUUUAAUUUAUAUUUUUUAACGAAUUGAGAACGAAUCGAGCUAAAUAUCAUAUUGUCUAUGUGUACACACUAACGAAUAGUACUAUAGGUUACAACCGAAUUCCGUACCCGAACAGAAUUACGAACUCGCACCGUGCCACUAAUACUGCGGCUGUUGCUGGUGCUGCUUUGCUGUUUGCUGCUCCUGCAAUUGCACUUGCUUAUUGGCGACGAAGAAAAUCACAGGAUCAUUUAUUUGAUGAACCUGGUUAGUGAACUAUAAGAGUAAUAUAGCUUGAUCAAGUUGGUGUUGUAGUUGUUGAAUGGGAUGCAGGUUUCACUCAUCUACUGUCUUUGCAGCUGAGGAGGAUCAAGAAGUUCAUUUACGACAGCUCAAAAGGUUUUCUUUGCGCGAGCUACAAGUUGCGGAUACCUUUAGCAACAAAAAUAUUAUUGGUAGAGGUGGCUUUGGUAAGGUUUAUAAAGGAUGCUUAGCUUUGGCUUUUGGUAGAGGAGGAUCAAAAGUAUUAUUGGUCGAGUUGGCUUUGGCUUUGGCAAGAUUACAAUUCAACAGUCCGGUCCCAAAUGAUAUGCACAUUGGUUCCGUUCCCUGUAUACAUGUAAGAAGCCUUCAGAGGACUAGAGAAGAUCCAUUUUGUAUUUCAGUCAUACCACACUUGUGCAUAUGUUUUGUCUUUGUUUUUUAUUUUGUUUUUGUCUCAUGUAUUUUUUAGAUCACAAAAAUGGAGCUGGCGUUGUUUUAAUUUUUAUAGGGUUAACUGGCAUUACGAAGUUAUAUGGUGCUAGCAUGAAUUAGGAAGGGCCAUAAAAGUACUCGUUCCUGAUGAUUUAUGUAUCUAUCCAGAAAUUAGUUCAGAUUGUCGAGUAAAUAAUCAUUCUGAACUUAUAACUCUCUAUAUUUUUUUAGUGUUCCUAUAGAUCCUAUAGUUACGAUAAGGACACUAGGUCAAGUGCAUGGGUGUUUGUGGAUAGAUAGUGUUUGAAAUUUCAUUGUGAUCAUUGCAAGUGUGACUUUGUGGCACUACCCUUAUAGGUACUUGAACUAAGGCAUUAGGGGAUCAAGAGAUCACUUUGUGUCAUUCCAACACAAGAAUUCGAGCUUUGUCUAAUCUCUUUAAAGUAUCGCCAAUGGGGAUCCCUCUACUAUCUUUGAGGAUUUAUUUAAGACCAACUAUAGGGUAAGACCCAAACCUAAACAUUUGAGUUUAAACAAAAUAAAAAUGCAAUCUAAUUGCGGGACUUUUUUGUUUUUUUGAACAACAAAUAUUUUCUACACGAAAAGGGUGGGAGAUUAGGUUAAGCCUUACAGUGGACUAGCAAUAAUAUUGUUCAAAUUUUCUUUUGGCGAGAAUCGAACCUAAAUACCUCUCACUUAUAUGUGAAGAAGUAAUACCACUAAACCGUAGUACUAAGUGGCAUCUAAUGGUUGCACAUAAACCUAAAAAGUUUGGCUUUUGACCCAAGCUAAACCCACAUUUGGGUUUGUAUUUGGCUGACCCAAAUUUUUGGGGGCCCUACUUUUUUUGUUUUUGAAAGGUGAAAAUUGUUUAAAAAGUAAGACUACUUGUGGGUUAAACUACCGCAAACCCUCAGUUAGCAUGCAAGGUUUUAUGAAGAGUUAAUGAUCUCAUUCAGAUUCAGGAUGGAACUUCAUCUUCCUUAAUUGUACUAAAGCAUAUUAACUUACAUGACGUUAUGUGUGAAAAUUAUAAGAAAUUGCGCCAUUCAUCUAUUGUCAAUUGGUUUAAAAAGUGAAACUCAUUUUCUUUCAAAUUUUCAUAAAACUGAGGCUAAACGUAUGUGGACCUAUUGAAAAUGUUACAUUUCGAGUUUCUACUCUAAAAUUUUCACAAUUUAGUGCGAUUAAUUUUGUACUUAAUUUCCCAUUAAGGUAGGUCAUAGGCCAAUUAUGUACCAUGAUUACCUCUUAUUAUAAGAUAGAAGUGGGGAGAUUCCAAACAAUAUUUCAUCAGCCAAAGACGAAUCAUAUUGGCCUAAUAAAAGAAAGCUAGGACGCGAUUUGAAAUAAUGAAAACCGUUGUGGCAUAUAUAUUGAUGUUAAUCAAACCAAUAUAUCACGAGAUAAAGUAUAAUUCUACUUUGUUUGAUGAAUCCAUCGAAAUCCUAUUUAAUUUAAGGAGAGGGGCAGAUUACAUCGGUUUGGUUUGACAAUAAAAAAUAAACUGAAUCAAAUAGUAUUCAGUGGUUCAGUUCGAUUCAAUUUUGAUCAAUACCACUAUUCAAAUCGAACUAAACCAAAUAAAAAAUGGAGAGAUCAUAUCGGUUUGAUUUGGUUUGAUUCGGUUGGUUUAAGCCUAUUCAACACAUAAAUAAAAAAACAUUAUACAUUUUAAGAGUUUUAUUCUUCUAAACAUCACACAUCUUGCGCGUUCCAAUUGGAUUGAAAGAUUAAAUUUUUCGGAACAUAAAAGUUCAUCAAGUCAAAUAGAACCAAGUUUCAAUUAAAUAAAGUCUCAUGCUAGCAAACAAUUUAUUAGCUAUAAACCUCAUAUAAGCAUGAAAUACAUAUAAUCAGCUUAUUGUUAAUAAUCAUUACAACUUUGUAAAAUUAAACUAAUUAAUAAUUCAAAGAGACAUGGUCAGUUCGAUUUGGUUUUGAUCGAUUUUAAAAGUAUCAAAAUAGAACCAAAAAAAAAAAUAAAUUGUUUUGGUUCGAUUUUUAAAUUAUUUGUUUUUACUUGAUCACCAAACAGACCAAAUUAAUUUUGUUUGAACCAGUUGAUUUGGUCGGUUUUAAUGCUCACCCCUAUCCAAAAUGCAUGGCUACCAACACUAGAUAAAUUGUAAAUGAGAAAUGCUAAGGAGACUCUCUCAAAAGUAGGACUCUCCAUAGACUUUCUAUCACCUCAUGUUUUUUGCACAAUAUUUUAUAAUGUUGGCACGAAAUUAAUGUUAAACUAUGACGACCCGUCCUUAAUUUUAUGAUUUUAGUAAUUUUAAAAUGUGUGAGAAUUGACGAAAAUGCCCCUAGAGGCGAGGGCGUUGACUUUGUUGACGGUCUUUUUGUGACGCGUUCGAGCUACUAUUUCACCGCAUUCUCGAACUACUCGACGAUACAGACACGUAGGCACAAGCAGAAUCGAAUUCGGAGUUGCAAUGAAAAUUUUACAGAUUUACGAAGUCGAAGAGCAUUUUAAUAAUUUCAUCAUCAUCCUAAAUAUUUGGCUCUCUAUUAUUUUAAUAUUUUCCCUUGAAUUUUUGGUCCAGUGGGACUCCCCACUUCUUUUCCCCCAAAUCUCAUGCUUCCAAAUCACUCGGAACUCUCUCUCUUCCCUAUAUCUUCUUCCUCUCAUCUCUCACCUUUCUCUUCUCUCUGUAUAAAAAAAAAAAAAAAAAAAAAGGUGGAGCCGAGCAGUACAACCACCACCUCACCACCUUUCCAGUGAACUACACCUGAACCACCAUACCAUGUCCCUCUGUCUCUCUCUUGUUAUGCAUCUUUCUCCCUCAAUCUCCAUGUCGUCUCUCUCAUCUCUACAAACAACAGGACAACCGUGAGGUUAAGGUCAUCACCAUCGCCGUCUUCCAUGGCAGAUGACCAUCGAACCAAUGUUCCCAAGAUAUCAUAUCAUCUGAAACCUAGCCUAGGUUUAAUUCCAGACAUCCCAACGGGAAUAGCUCUCGAAUCUUAGAGUUCUAACACUGCGGAGACUAUUCAGCAUGGAUCUCACCACUUUCUAUGAAGGUGAGUGUCGAUUAUGCUUUGUGUGAUCUCCCCCUUGUGGUUUAAAAUGACUUUUAGGCUUAAUGAGUGAAGUUUGGAUUGGUUUCAUGACAUAAAUGGCAAGGGAGGAAGUUUUCCAGAUUUCUGGAAAAUUAGUAACCGUGGUCAUUUGACAACUUUCAGGCCAUUUUUUUGGCCAACACCGACCUUAACUCGGCCUCACCUUGGUAUGGUGUUUCUCUCUACAUUUCUAACUUCAAAAUGGCUCUUGAAUUAUUGAUUUUGGUGGGAGAAUCAAGCUCGAUAUAAGCUCUGGAAGUCGGACAAAAAACCUGCAAAAUGCAGGCCUUCGCAAGGAAGCUGAGUACAAUGGUACUUGCAGGCACGUAGGCAUGCGUGGGCUUUACAUGGGUCAUCGGCGCGUGGAGAAACCCGAGGUCCCUCUUUAGGUUUCUCGACAUGCUGGACCCGAAUCCGCCCUCAUUUUUCCCCACACUUUGUAUGAAAAUGUGUUUAUACGUUAGUACUUUACGUAUUUACAUAUAUGGUUUCGUUUCUAGGCGAAAUGCCUCGAAAGGACUCUCGAUGCUACGAGUCGGGUUCGACUCAACGACAGGAUUUGUGAGUGGGUCUUUUCUUGAUACAUACAUACAUACAUACAUACAUACAUACAUACAUACAUAUAUAUAUAUAUAUGUUUAGUUUCCAUAUAUACAUCUAAUAAUGAAUUUUCUAUAUGAAUGUCAUAGUUAAAUUAAUAUUUAUAGAAAAUGACGUAACGAAGAGAAUUAGGAAAAUCAUUAUGAAUCUUACGGGAUGCCUUAGCUAAAUUUACGGCUAUGAAUAAUAUUAUGUUGACUAGAAUUAUCAAAUCAUUAUGGCAUGGCUACAUUUAUGUUAUUUGCUCAUCGUUUGCUGCACCGGUGUUAGUACUCGCCUGGGCCAGGGCCAAUCUUUCACGUGUAUGUGCACAUCGCACUGUACGCUCACUUUGGAUCCCUUGUAGGUGUCAGUCCUAUCGUACAGGUUGCAAUAGGCAGCUUCGACUUGUAUGUGUUGCGCAUAGCGCCAGUCUUCGCAUGAUUGUAGUACUAUAGUGUAUAUCAUUGUUACACCCAGUCCUAUUCAUGUCAGAAUACCUCUGCAUGAACUCAUGUGUCAGCAUGUGUCAAUGAGNCCACUAAACCGUAGUACUAAGUGGCAUCUAAUGGUUGCACAUAAACCUAAAAAGUUGGCUUGACCCAAGCUAAACCCACAUUUGGUUUGUAUUUGGCUGACCCAAAUUUUUGGGGGCCCUACUUUUUUUGUUUUUGAAAAGCAAUGGGCAAAUUAUAUUAUAUACUAAAAGAGAAAAACGCCUGAAUCACUAUUCAUAGUACAGUGGAUUUUCGAUUUUGUCCUCGCUUAUUUGUCUAUUAUUAUAGCCUUGCCCCUAUUGCUUUGCUGUCAAAUGCUUAACAGUUUCGCGACGCGUGGAAAUUCCGGAGCCUUCUUUGUUAUUUUUCCCUCACCAUUUGGCUGUUUCCUCGCCCACCGCAUAAUUCUUCUACUGCUGCCAAUCCAUAAACCACAACGCGAAUCCGACCGCCUCUUCUUUCCCCUUCACUUUCACGGUUCCACCCCAACAUCAUCGGUAAGCUUUGAAACGUUUUUAUGGGUGUGAGUUUCUGAAUGCAUGUCUAAACUUUGAUUGGAAUUUGGUUGUUUCCUUAAUUCCCAUCAACCCUUCUCACAACUUCAUCUAAAAUGCUCUGCAUGUAAGAUCUGUGUUCGUGUAGGUCAUUUCAAAGGGAUUUCAAGCUGGGUUGCAAAGAUUUGAUUCAAGUUUGUGGAUUUGGGUAAGAAAUUAAGAACCCCUAAUCUUUUCUUAAGGUUUUAAAUGCCACAUGCAUCACAAUAAUCCAUUCAAAAUCACAAUUUUCCUCCGUGCUUCCUCCGUUAUUUCUUCACCAUCAACCUUGCGGCAACUUCCUUGCCGAUUCGAGCUGCUCGACCAUGACAUGAACGCCGCCUCCACACGUUUGACUCGCUGUACGUCCUUGGCUUGCCGCUCUCCUUAUCUCCCGGUGAUUCAUUCUCCUCAUUGGAUUCUAUUUGGGUGAGUUCUUGGUUGAUACUCGCCCCCAUGAUUUUUCAAUUUGGUUUUUUUGGGUGUCUUUAGUCGUCGUGUUGAUAAAAAUUUUCUGCGUUUUUUUGCUUUUCGUUUGUGGUUUUUUUUUAAAUUUUUUUGGGGGUUUGAUGAAUGAAUUUGUGUGGGAGUUUUUGAAGUUUUAUUAAUUAUGUUGUAUUUGGGCCCCUGGGUAAGCUUAGAAACCUUUGUAGAUGUCGCAUGCAUGUAGAUUUUUCUUCAAACAUAUGAAGAAUUGUUAGUCUGCUGUACAAUUUCCUCUGCCACCCUUGGAAAAUCAACAUGCACAGACAUUUUAGAAUUCUUCAUUUAAAUUUGCAGGGUUCAGGACAGUUUUUCUUUUAAAGUUAUGGGUUCUUUUGAUAUGAUUUUUUUUUAUUUGAAUUAUUCAUUUAAUUUUUGAGAUCUUUUAGCAAAUCUCCAAAUUGACUCAUAAUGAUUAGGCUUGAAACAGAUGCUAUAAAUCAGUUUUGGUGGAGGAGUUGUUCCGCAGCCUCAGGAAAAAUAGAGGAAUGUUUUUGAAAUAAGGUCUGAUCGAAACUUUUGUAUAAAAUUUCACAAUUUUUGAGUUUUAAGCCAUUCAAAUUCACAUUUGCCUACAUUAAUAUAUUAAGUAGGUUACUUAUUGAUUUUUUUUUGGGAUUUUCUGUUUUUCAUGGUUUCCUAAUCCUUUGUCCGACUUGAAUGUGUAGCUAAGCAUACCAGCAAAUCAAAAGGUUUUUUGAGACGGAGGGGUGCUCUGGCUAUUCCAAUAGUUUCGGUACUGCUAGCAUGUGGUAUUAAUCAUUGUGUUGCCUUUGCCAUGCUAAGCGGAUAAAAAAAGAGUAAAACAAAAGGUAUGAGAAGUAGUCAUCCCCUCUGAAUUGUUUAACGGUUUGAUCUAAAUAAAAGCAAUGCAAUUUCAUCUUAAUGAAUGUCUACAAUUGGUUCAUGUGAUAGCACAGACUAUACGGAGAGAGAUGAACUUGAAGAAGCGAGGAGACACCCCGAGUUGCAAUAUUUCGGUCUGAGCACCAUAAUAGCAGCCACAGAUAACUUCUCACCCAUUAACAAACUCGGCCAAGGGGGUUUUGGCAUUGUUUAUUAGGUGAAUCCCAAUUCAGAAGUCUUACACAUUUUACAAUUGAAUGAUUUCUUCUAAGCAUUAUACAGUAAUUUUGUUCUGUUUCUUAUGUCUACUGUUUUUUUUUUUUUUUUUUUUUUUUUUUUUUUUUUUUUUUUUAUAAAGCAUGAAAGCCUAAUAGUAAUACUGAUUCAUUACUUCAGGGCCACUUGCCAAAUGGUCAGAUUAUUGCUGUAAAAUAUGUAGAUUGCACUUGAACAAGGUUUGUUUCUCGAAUCACAUUCAUUAGUUAGAUUAUUAAUGUGCUUCGAGAGGGGUUUUCAAUAUGAUUUUGUAAUUUCCCUUGAGAACUGUUUACACGUUUCCAUAUGGGUUUUUUGAACUACAGAAAAUUUUGUCAUUCCUAAGAUUUAAUUGUUGUUAUUGUAUAGUUUAAUUAUUUUCCCCUAAUAUGAUUGAAUGGUAAUUAGUUGUAUAAAUUUGGCUUUGACCGUUCUUUCUCCUCCUUGGGUUCUAUUUCCGUCUCUGACCCCAUUGAACUUCAGUUGAGCUCAAGUAAGCAGUCCUAGCGGCCAGCCUUCUUUUAGGUCACUCAAGGAUAAUUGGGAUCAAAUAUUCGCAUUUUCAUUGUUUGAAGUAGGAAGCACCACUUUUUCCUCUAAUUUUGUUUCUUCUGAAAUUUAAUGGUUCUGAUUUGAAUCAUCUUGCAGAAGAUUGAGAAACAGAAGGUUGGAGGACUAGAUGAUCAAGCAUUGACUUAUUUUUAAAGAAAAGGUAAACCACGAAAAUCCCAAAGUGAUAUCCCACGACCUACAACUAUUUUUGUAUUUGAUUAAUUUAAUUCUUAAUAUUUUUCCGCGUUGAUUUAUGUUGAACUAUGUCUGAAAGGUGGCCUUUGUUCAGAUUGAAAUACAAAAUUAAAUCACAUUUGAUCAGUUAAAUCACAUCUAUAUUAAUGUGCAAAUUUGCAGGAUAUUGACUAUAAUAUUCACUUAGUCAGUUCUCUGUAUUAUCCUUUCUUCAACAGGGGUUGAGAACAAUAUUUAAUAUGUAGGUUGAAUUGAUUGAAUAUUUGGUUUUGUUGGUUGAAAAGUUUAAUAUCGUUUAUUUGUAUGCUCUGAUCUUUGGUUGACGCUGUUAUGUGGAAAAGACCCCUUAUAAAAGAUUAGAGAUGUAACUGGUACUUUGUCUAUAUUCCUGUAAUUUGAUUGUAUAUUGUUUUAUUUACUUUUGUAGGUUAGAGUUUUUAAUUUUUAUGGGUUUAUUGAAUGCGUAAUUCUCUAAGCAUUCGAAAAGGUAAGAUUUGGGAGAGUGAGAAUUUGUAAUUACCUUGAGAGGAAUUCUUUUUAUUGCAUCUACAAAAUAUUUAACAUCAUCUACUAACAACGCUUUGGCUUUCCAGUAAACAAAUAACAGAAGGACCUCCAUACAUUCAUGAGCAUCACUUUUAUUUAGUGGAUUACAAUGAAUUGUUAUCUCACGUAGAUAAAGUUGAAAUUCUCAUAGGUAAUUAAACACAUUUAUAAAUCUACAUCUAUAUGCCAUUUUUGUUUGCCAACAUUUUUUCAUCCUAUAAUCUUAUAAUAUUGGAUUGCCAAAUUGCAAGAUAUUGUGGGACGCAUCACAUCAGUGCAACCAGACAGUUUUGAAUCCCGCAGCAUUGCGCGGGCUUCACUGCUUGUGAUUUACUAAAGUGGCCGACAGAUGGACCCCUCAGCUGGCAGGGUACCAGUUGCAAAACGGUAACAUUUUAAGGGACUACGAGCCGUUUUAUUUUUGGGCCAUUGGUUUUUGGGCCAUUGGUGAUCAACGGUCUAGGUUAAAAUCUUUUUUUGUUUUGCAAUCUUUAGAUUUUGAUCUGAUUGUUCAUAUUUUUUUUUUCAAAUCUAAUUGUAAAAAAAAUCCAACUGCUGAAAUUUAAAUUAAAUGUCAAAAUAAUAAAAUAAUUUUUUAGAACAUAUCCACUUUACAUUUGGAUGGUGUGUGUAUUGAAGUUUGGUUGGUUGGUGUGAUUUGUUCGGUUUUGAAAAUUUUGUCGAAAUUUAAUCAUUUAAUGUCAAAAUACUCGUCAAAUUAAAUUAAAAUAAUAUAAUUCAAAAGUACAAAAAAAAUUAAAAAAAAUCCCACCAAAAAAAUUAGGGUUAAAACUAUAUUCCACAACAAUUAGCAUUUUAGGUCCUGAAAUUUAGGUCUUGGUAUUUGGGUGAUAUUCACUGUUCAUAGACUUAAAUUCCGUCUUUUUAAUGGUCUUUUAAAGGGGUGUGUAGUCAAAUUAGGAUUUGAUAGCAUUUUGAUGGAUUUUAAAAUCUAAGUGCAUUCAAUUAGGAUUUUAAAAGAUUUUGAAAUCAUAGUGUAGUCAAAUUAGGAUUUUAUAGGAUUUUAAAGAAUACAUCAAAAUCCAAGGAUAGUCGAUUAGGAUUUUAAAUGAGUCUGCAGAUGUCUAGGUGUAGUGAAAUUACCAAGGAUUUGCUAGGAUUUUGAUGAGUGAUGGAUUUUAAUGGAUUUGAGGGUUUGUGGUAUAAAUACCAAAUGUUAUCCAACCCUUACCCCUCAAAUUUCUUUUCACACCAGAGGAACAGUCUUCUCCAUUUGAGAGGACCUACUGUGAACUCAGCCGACUUGGACUUCUAUGGCUGGUCGUGAAAUCUUUGCAAGCAUGAGAAGAUGUCCCAGCACCACCAACUUAUUUUUUUCUUUCUUCACCGACUACCCAAACAUCUCACGUAAAUUCCCUUGCUGACUCUUCCUUUCCCUUCAACUACUUCCUAUCUCUGUUGUACUUUUAUUUACAGAAUACACCUUGUUCAAUUUUGCUUUGGUGCCUUUGAAAUGUCACCAUUUAUUAUUAAAACCAAUCAACGUCACUCUCGAAACACGUAUUAUUUGGCUUGGGUUGGAUCAAUUCAUCCAACCUGUAUACAUUCUAAACAUUAUUAAUUUGUGCUAUUACUACGGUAUGAAAAUAUGCAAUUAACUAGUCCUUGGAUUGAGGAUCGUGAUUUCAGACAGUGUAGUAGAAUACACAUAACAAUUAGGGUUUCAAUUGCAGAGAGUUGGAGAGGUUAAUCUCAGCCACAGAGUUUCAUUAAAAAUGAUCUGACGGCAUUGUAUGUGAUUUCUAAAUUUUUUUAAAAUCCUAGGAAAUCCAAGAAAGAAUCCAUACAAAUCCAUACAAAUCUAUAAGAGAAAUCCACAUAAAUCUGUCAAAAUCCAUAUGGAAUUGUAGAGUCCAUUAAAAUCCUUUAAAAUUUGUCACCUAAACAAAAUCCAUUAAAAUCCUCUAAAAUUCAAAUUGAUUACACCCCCUAAAUAUUUUGGUUUGGGUGUAAGGGUUGGAGUUGGUCUAAGGACUUUAAUGGAAUCUUUGAAUUCCUAUAAGUGUAUUGCCUCAUAGCGAACCGGGAUCCUCGCAGGAUCCAUUCCCUAGGGAUCCCGCAAUUCUAUCCGUUCAUCGUAUAUCAUGCGGUCAGUUUUCGUUAGGUACUAUUUACAUUCGAAUUUUAAAUUUUAAAUUUUAAAUGAUUUCUAACCGCACGAUAUACGAUAAACGAACAAGAUUGCAAGAUCACUAGGGAAUGGAUUCGACGAGGAUCUUGGUUCUACAAUAGCUUCACUAUUGGCUAUAGCUUAUGUCAUGGUUUAUAUUAUAGCUCAUGUCAUGGUUUAUUAUUUCUAAUCAAAGUUAGACUUCGACUCUUUGCAACCCUUGGUCAACUAAAUGAGUUAUUAAUUAAAAGUCGUUUGAUAAUUAUUUUGUUUUUAAUUUUUAAUUUUUAGUUUUUACUUUUCUGUUUUGAAAUUAGCCAAAAUGGUCUCUGAAAUUAGCAUAACUUCUCACUUUGAUUCCUGAAAUUUAAAAUUGCCAGAAGUGAUUCAUGAGUUUGUUAAUUAUCAAUCAUUUUGAUCAUUAUGUUAAAAAUAUCCAUUAAAUAAGGAGCAAAUAACAAAAUAACCUCAAUUUAAUAAAAAAUGGGCCAUAAUAAUUUGAUAAAAAUUGAGUGUAAUUUUGUUUUUUCAUGAAAUGAUUAAAAUAAGGGAACUUUAAUGAAAAGUUUAUAGUACUGUUCACUUUAACGAAAAAUCAUAUUUUUACAAUAAAAAGUUAAUCCUGGUACUAUUCAUUUUACCCAUUAUUUUGUCAUUAUCAUUAAAACUCAAAGUUUUCAAACCAUUUUUAUUAAUUUUUCUUUAAAACAAUUUAUAGUGGAUUAAACCAGAAAUCUCAUUUUGAGUGAGGAGUUGCAUAGCAAUUUCAGGAAUCAGCUGAAAAGUAAAAAAUAAAUAUAAACAAAAGAAGAAACGAAACUUCCGACCUGGUGGGUUGCGACUUUGGUUUGGUAUUGCUGUGCUUUGAAAAAAAACUGUUUCUGCUGUGCUGUGAGAAUAAGCAGCUGUGAAAUAAAACAGCAGAGUGUUUGGUAAAUUUUUUUGUAAAAAUGCUUUUGAAAAAAAAAACAGUAUUAUAGUGUUUAGUAAACUUUUAUGUAAAACAGAUGUGAAAAAAAAAAAACCGAUUUUUCAAAGUUGGGUUUUGCAGCUUCCUGUUUUUGGUUUUUUUCACACAAAACUGUAAAAAAAAAAUGUGAAAUUGAAUGUUUACCAAAUACAAUAAAGCUGCCAGCUUUUUUUUAUACCAUUUUUUUUCAGAAUUACCACCGUACCAAAUCAGGGCUUAAACUGACUGAGAGGUCCUCUAUCCGCAGCUCCUUCGUCUUCCUCCCAAGCCUUUUACCUUUUCUUUCUUUCUUCUCCAAAACUAGCAAUCUGAGAUUUCAACCUCUCUCUCCAAGGAGCAGCGGCAUGCUUUUCCAAACGUAAUCUGCAAUUUAAUCAAACAGCCACCAAAUUUUCUGGAAUCCGGUCAAUGCAGAGAUUCUUCGGAUUUUGAUCGGUCAACGCCAGCUGCUUACCUGAGCUCUAACAGACACAACAGUGAUAACGUCCUCCACCUCUGUCUCUGUUUGGCUGAUUCUGCUGUUUCGCUUCUUUCACCUCCACAAGCUUGCUGCCAAUGUCGAAGGUAUGUCUCUGUGUGUUAUUGAAAUUGGGAGUGUUUGGUUGUGGGAACUGGAAUGAACUAAUGAAUGAAUGACUGGAAACAUUCCCGAAGAGCUUGGGGGUUUGUCAGACUUGGUGAGCUUGGAUCUUUACUUGGCAACCUUGCAAAACUGCGUUUCCUGUAUGAACCCCCAUCCUUCUGUUAGAUAAAAUCUAUCGUCUUUCUUUUUUAUUCGAUAUGCUAAUUUGCUUUUAUUAAUUGUUCCAUUGGAGUGACUUUCUUCCUUAAAGUCCUUGUGCCGGAUGCAUAUAAUUUAUAGUAUGAUCCCUGGUUUCAAGAUUCACAAGAAGGGAACAUCCAAUCAUUGCAAGUCCUGUGAGUUUCAUACACUUUCAUCUCAGUGUAAGAGGGAGGAGAGAGAGAGACAGAAGUUACUAAUUUCUCCGCCAUCAGGUAUUGUUUGGUAUGUAGACGAGAACGGAACGGGACAGGAUGGGACGGAAUGGAGAGAGAGAGCAAAGAUGCUCUCGGAUGGAAACAAGGAGGAAGAAGAAUGAGACGGAGAAAUUAUAAUUUUGUGUUCCACGGAUUUGGAACGAGUCAUUCCAGGGAAAAAGGGGAAACAAAAAUUCAUCUAAAAUUCGUUCCGUGAAACAAUACGUUUCACCCGUUUUAGGUGAACCAAACAUGAGACGGAACGUCUCAUUUCACUCUGUUCCGUCACGUUUCACGUACCAAUCGGUACCCCAGAGAAUGCAAAUAACAUAUAGUUUUGCCAUGGAAUGCAGGGAUCUUUCAAAUAACAAUCUGACAGGGGAUAUUUGUGGUGCCCUUUUCGUGCCCUCCUGUUUUUGUGGUUACGGUUAAGCCACGUCAACAUUUUAUAUUACUAUUUCUUUUUGUUUUAUUAUUUUUAUAAAAAAAUAAUAUAAAAUAUUAACGUAGCUUAACCGUGACCACACAAAACAGGAGGGCACUAUUUGUGGUGCCCUUCCCGUGCCCUCCUGUUUUUGUGGUUACGGUUAAGCCACGUCAACAUUUUAUAUUACUAUUUCUUUUUGUUUUAUUAUUUUUAUAAAAAAAUAAUAUAAAAUAUUAACGUAGCUUAACCGUGACUACACAAAACAGUAUGACACGGAAAAGGUACCGAAAUAGGAGGGCAGACAAUCCAAGUCCUCCGGUCAAUGGAUCUUUUUAACUUUUUACUCCCAUGAGGUUUGUUGAAGCAACUUUACUCUUUUUCUUUACCUUUUUCCUGCGGUGACUGUCCCAGCGGACGAUCUAAAUGAUGUACUGAUUGCUAUUCUUCAUUUUGCAGUUUUGCCAAUAAUCCUCGUCUGAAUCCACUUCCAGCCUCACCACAUCCAGGUUUUUACAACUUGUACUGUUCUAAUGUUCUUGUGAUAUUAGCGCAAAAUUAUUUUGAGAAUUGGCUCUGUUUUGUUUCACAGACACUUGUGAUAUCGAUCCAGUCCAGUAAUGGUUAAUGUUUUAUUUUUGGUGUUUUUCUGUUAAAACUUUUCAUAAUGGUUAAUGUUUUAUUUUUGGUGUUUUUCUGUUAAAACUUUUCAUAAUAUACCAUUACUGUUGGAAUCACUGCUGUAAAGAAUCUAAGAAGAUGCUAGUUAGGAAAGGAAUGGAUUGAGGAUCCGAGAGGAUACUCCUAAUUAUGUGUUGUACUAUUUCUGUGAGUUUGAAGAAAUGAAUAAAAGAAUAAUGUUAGCGAGACCAAAAAUUUUAAACGGUUGUUGAUGAUUGAAUUAUUAAUUAAGUGUCGAUUAUUGUGUUUAUUUCUUAUUGGUGACACAUUAUUUGGUUUGGCGAUUCAGUGGUGAUUAUAAUCAUCUACAAUAAUUAAUACGCACUGAUAAUUUUUGGGAACAGAGGAGUGAAAAAACUGGAAUUUUGGGAAGCUCGGUGCUUCUGGUUUUCAUCGAGCAGAGGGAAGACGAAGAGGGAGAGAGAGAGAGAAAAUACUAAGUUUAAGGAAAUGGUUGAGAGACCAAAGUUUUAAAUCAAAUUUACGAACCAAAUGAUGUAUCAUCAUUAAGAAACAAGCAUGUAUACUUAAUUAAUAAUUCAAUCAUCUACAACCACAUCAUUUGGUUUAAUAUUUUUGAUCUCCCUAGCAUUAUCAGUAGUUUAAUUGUAAUUUUUUUUUUAUGGAGGCACCGAUCAACAGUGUUGAUUUUUUAGAGAAGAUGUAAAGAGUCGGAGGCCCAUAGAAUUUCCCAAGUUCAAAUAUUUAUAUUUUUUUGUCAAACGAUAGAUUUUAUUAGAUUAUAUGUUAGGUUAGUCAUCGACGGAGUUUGAACCUACGCCGUCAUGCAAUGACGCAACACAUUUCCACCACUGUGGUAAAUGGUCACUUGUAUUUGAGAAUAUUUAUAUUAUUCUAAUUUGAAAGUUAAGUGAAUUAAUUAUUUUUUAUUUGUAAACAAAUAUUUGCUUGCAAGUAAUCAAUUCUAUUAAACAAAAAUAAUUGCUUACAAUACAAUAAACAAUAACUAUAAAUAUUAUUGUAAAAUGUAUAUUAUAAAUAUUUUUAAUGUAUAUUUUUUUACGAAUUGAACUGAAUAUGAUAAUGUCUGUGUAUUCUCUAACAUAAUGUUACUAUAGGUUACUAUCGAAUUCCGUAUCCUAACCGAAUUGCGAACUCGAAUCGUAACAUGUAUCUGGAAACUAUGGGUGGCACUGGUACUGGGGCUAUUUUUGGAGGGGUUGCCGUUGGUGUUGCUUUGCUGUUUGGUGCACUUGCAAUUGCAUUUGCUUAUUGUCGACGAAGAAAACCACAGGAUCAUUUCUUUAAUGAACCUGGUUAGUGAACUAUUAAGAUUAAUAUAGCUUGAUCAAGUUGGUGUUGUAGUUGUUGCAUGGGAUGCAGGUUUCACUCAUCUACUGUCUUUGCAGCUGAGGAGGAUCCAGAAGUUCAUUUACGACAGCUCAAAAGGUUUUCUUUACGCGAGCUACAAGUUGCGACGGAUACCUUUAGCGACAAAAAUAUUCUUGGUAGAGGUGGAUUUGGUAAGGUUUAUAAAGGAUGCUUAGCUGAUGGAACUCUGGUUGCUGUAAAAAGACUAAAAGAGAAGAGAACCCAAGGCGGGGAGCUACAGUUCCAAACGGAAGUUAAAAUGAUUAGCAUGGCUGUCCACCGCAAUCUGCUUCGUCUGCAUGGUUUUUGCAUGACACCAACAGAAAGGCUGCUUGUAUAUCCUUAUAUGGCUAAUGGAAGUGUGGCAUCACGUUUAAUAGGUACUCAUCUAGAUUGUAUGCUGCGUUGAUGAAUCUUUUUGUUUUCACGAUAUUAAAAAUUAUUUGGAUUACAUUGAUAAUUUGAAUUUAAAAACCCGACCAAUUUGGUUUGGAGUAUCAACACUGAUUUUCUAUAAUGUAUUUUUUUUCCCUUCCAUUUUAAGUUACCUUCUUGCUGAUUUUCUUUCUAUUUAAUUUGAAAAGAAUGACGAGAUGACCUUUUUUGGGUAAGACUGGUGGCAUGAUAUGUGUUAGACCAUAUUACCUGUUGUUUGUGAUUUGAAACUCUACUCUCAAAAGUUUGUGGAUAUAUUAAUAAUUAUUAUUGUAGAUCGUCCAGAAGGACAACCUGCACUUAAUUGGCCAGUAAGACAACGCAUUGCAUUGGGAUCUGCAAGAGGCCUUGCUUAUUUACAUGACCACUGUGAUCCAAAAAUUAUUCACCGUGAUGUGAAAGCUGCAAACAUAUUGUUGGAUGAGGAAUUCGAAGC